GAUGAACGCUGGCGGCGUGCCUAAUACAUGCAAGUCGAGCGAACAGACGAGGAGCUUGCUCCUCUGACGUUAGCGGCGGACGGGUGAGUAACACGUGGAUAACCUACCUAUAAGACUGGGAUAACUUCGAGAAACCGGAGCUAAUACCGGAUAAUAUAUUGAACCGCAUGGUUAAAUAGUGAAAGACGGUUUUGCUGUCACUUAUAGAUGGAUCCCCGCCGCAUUAACUGGUUGGUAAGGUAACGGCUUACCAAGGAAAAGUUGCGUAGCCGACGUGAGAGGGUAGUCGGCCACACGGGAACUGAGCCACGGACCAGACUCCUACGGGAGGCAGCAGUAGGGAAUCGUCCGCAAUGGGCGAAAGCCUGACGGAACAACGCCGCGUGAGUGAUGAAGGUCUUCGGAUCGUAAAACUCUGUUAUUAGGGAAGAACAAAUGUGUAAGUAACUAUGCACGUCUUGACGGUACCUAAUCAGAAAGCCACGGCUAACUACGUG
rnacentral:rRNA from 1 species